UACAGAGGUGGCAAGCGUUGUUCGGAAUUACUGGGCGUAAAGGGCGCGUAGGCGGUUCGUCGCGUCUGCCGUGAAAGUCCGGGGCUCAACUCCGGAUCUGCGGUGGGUACGGGCAGACUAGAGUGAUGUAGGGGAGACUGGAAUUCCUGGUGUAGCGGUGAAAUGCGUAGAGAUCAUGAGGAAGACCAGUGGCGAAGGCGGGUCUCUGGACAGUUCCUGACACUGAGA
rnacentral:rRNA from 1 species